CGGGUGAGUAACACGUGAGCAACCUGCCCCUGACUCUGGGAUAAGCGGUGGAAACGCCGUCUAAUACCGGAUACGACCCGCCACCUCAUGGUGGAGGGUGGAAAGUUUUUCGGUCAGGGAUGGGCUCGCGGCCUAUCAGCUUGUUGGUGGGGUAACGGCCUACCAAGGCGAUUACGGGUAGCCGGCCUGAGAGGGCGACCGGCCACACUGGGACUGAGACACGACCCAGACUCAUGCGGGAGGCAGCAGUGGGGAAUAUUGCGCAAUGGGCGAAAGCCUGACGCAGCGACGCCGCGUGGGGGAUGACGGCCUUCGGGUUGUAAACCUCUUUUACCACCAACGCAGGCUCGAAGUUCUCUUCGGGUUGACGGUAGGUGGGGAAUAAGGACCGGCUAACUACGUGCCAGCAGCCGCGGUAAUACGUAGGGUCCGAGCGUUGUCCGGAAUUAUUGGGCGUAAAGAGCUCGUAGGCGGCGUGUCGCGUCUGCUGUGAAAGACCGGGGCUUAACUCCGGUUCUGCAGUGGAUACGGGCAUGCUAGAGGUAGGUAGGGGAGACUGGAAUUCCUGGUGUAGCGGUGAAAUGCGCAGAUAUCAGGAGGAACACCGGUGGCGAAGGCGGUUCUCUGGGCCUUACCUGACGCUGAGGAGCGAAAGCAUGGGGAGCGAACAGGAUUAGAUACCCUGGUAGUCCAUGCCGUAAACGGUUGGGCGCUAGGUGUGGGACUUUCCACGGGUUCCGCGCCGUAGCUAACGCAUUAAGCGCCCCGCUGGGGAGUACGGCCGCAAGCUAAAACUUCAAAGAUUGACGGGGGCCCGCA
rnacentral:rRNA from 2 species